CAAAGCCCAUUAAUGGUGGCAGUUUGUGACACAACUGAAGGCUCCUCUAAGGGGCAGCUCUCCCGCGAUUCCACCGUGCACUGACUUUGGAGGCGUUUGCUGGCGUGGUGAGGCUCAGCUUCCCCCUCUGUUUCCCAGGCUCCAGAGACUAAUCCUUCCUUUGGCUGCCUCUGCUGCUGCUAUGGCAAUAUUUUCUCCCCCAUCGUGGUAAUCACGCAAUGGUCUCUGAGAACAGCAGGAGAAGCUGUGCCUGGUAGAUGCAUAAAAGAUCUCCCUUUGCUUCAAAGGCCGUAAGAGAUUGUGACUCCACCAACCUUUUAAAUGGAAAAGGGAACCCCGGUGGAAGCUGUCGUGAGGCAGGGCGGGGCUGUGUGAAGAGGGAUGAAGGACACGGAUGCUCAGAAGGCUCCAGAUCAGGGUAAGAAGUGCUUGUGGAAUUAUCCUUUGAAAUGUACACUUUGCAGGAAGGCCCCAGGGAUCAUCAAACUGAGGAGCUGGGCUGAGUUGCACCAUCUGCUCGGGAUUUAGGACAGGCAGAGCUGUGAAAGUAUGAAUUAAAAGUACAGAGUAGCAGGAAAUAGUUUCCCCUUGCCCCAUCUUUUGGAAGCAAAGCUGGGUGGCUGGUGCCACCCUCAUGCUGUGGCGCUCCCUGUGCCAGGGCUGGGUCACUGGGGCCCAGCUGGGACCCUGAAACCCCGGACCUGUACCGUGGGCCUUGCUGCCCGACCCGAGCGUGGCUGCUCUGGCAAAGCUCAGGCACAUCCCAGUUUCUGUAUUCAGUUCUUGCUGCAUCAGCUCCCCGUGGUCCUGCUACAGCAGCAGGCGAGGGGCCGAUGCCCACAUGAAGCCCUGCACCUAGGGGCUCUCCUGGUCACCACCUGCCUGCUACUUGCUCUGCAGUCCUGAUUAUGAGUUUAGGAGCUCCAGGAAUGGAUAUAUCAUCUGUUUCUCAUUGCAUUCCCUUUCCUCUGAGUUGCUGAAGCCAGUGCGCUGAGAAAUGCAUUCCCUGACAUCACACCAGGAGCACCAGCCUGCCAGCCCCUCCUCAGACAUGCCAGGCACCCAGAGGGGCUGCACACUGGGGCAGUCCUGCCAUGCAGGUACAUGCCAGGGGAGGAAGGUGAGGUGGUGCAGCUGCAGGCAGGAGCUGUCCGUCACCUGCAGGACCCUGCUGCCCUCCAGACAGAGGCUAUCCUUGUCCUCUGGAAAUUUAUAAUCUUUAUAAUCGAAGAUUUAGACUCUUCAAAGCUUUAUGCCUGUCUUUAACCUGUAGCAUAUGCAUAGUCUCAAUGGGAUUUCUCAUCUGCUAAGAGUUAAGCACGUACAUAAAUCUCUGCAGGCUGGGGCCCAAGGCAUUCCCACGCACAGCAUUCCUGUGCUCACGGGUCAUGGAACAGCCCGUGAACCCACUGCCUGAGCGUGUGUCAGCACGGGGGGCACGCCGAGCCCCUGGCACUUGUGCCAGCCUCCUGAGCAUUUCCCAAGCAGUUUGGAUGCUGUGGGGGUGUUGAACUUCUGACACCACCUUUGGCAAAUCCACUCUCUGAGCCAGCACCUCCAGGAAGCGGGCAGGGGGAUAACAGCCGGAGGUGAGCCAAGCAGGGAGCAGCCGUGUGCAGCUGCAGACAGCAUUUGAGUCAGAGUGGGAGCAGAACAGAGCUCAGGACAGCGCUGGCGUGCCAGGUACUUGGCAUGGAAAGGGAAGCAUGCUGAAGGCUCGCGGUGCAGCAAGGCUCUCCCUUGCCUCCCUCCCCAUGGACUGCUUGCUCACAGAUGUGGCCAGGGCAGCGUGCGAGGACCCGGAGCAACGUGUGCAGCUGCUCCACUCCAGCCCAGCUCAUCUAGUGCAGCCUGCAGCCUCCUGUGCGCAGGCACUCUCAUGUAGAUUUGUCACCAGGUGCUAUCGAAUCAGCUUCAUUUUCACCAAUGCAAGCUGGUCCAGUGUGACCCAGAUGUAAGAAAGCAGCAGAUUUUUUGCAGACUGGUAGAACUGGUAAAGUGCAUGCCAGCCGCAGUACAUCCUCCUGACAGCCUGUGCUUAUGGGGUGAUUGUAUGUAGCAGCACAGUUUUUUCAGGGCCUGGGCUAUUAGAUUCACUGCAUCAAUCUCCAGGCUUUUGUUUUCAUGUUGUAAUCUUUGCCAUCAAAUGACAAAAAAAGAGGAAAUACACUUCACAUUUAAAAUCAUCCCAGUGAAGCCCUUUUUUCCCCUUCAUGUAAUGUUGUUUUAAGUCAGGUGAUGUGACCUUCCACUAAACUCUUUCCACUUCAUAUCCGGUGUUUUCAAUGGGAACAGAUUAGUCCUCUUUAAUUUGGGGUUAGAAAAUCCAGGCAAAGCCAUCAAGUGAGAAGCAGCAUUUAAUAAAUGCCUCGUGUUCUGCAGCAUUCAGUUUUCUGAGGGCAAAAUUGCGUUCAUUUCCCUGAAGCCUCACCUGCCCAGGCAGGCAGCCGUGGCCGUCAGCAGCCCCCGCACCGCGGCUCGGCCGCGCUCGCCGUGCGCCCGCAGUGCUCGGGUCAGCUGCUGUUUGUCAAAGCAGCCGCGGCCGCGGCCCCAGGCAAAGCGCUGAGCGAACACGGCACCCUCUGAACUGACCCGGGCAUUUAGCCUUUCUGAGAAAUAUUUAUGGAAAGGUCAGCAAAUGCUUUGUGACAGGACGCUGGCACAUCCCUAACCCUCUCCUCUCCCGCUCCCUGCCUCGCCCACGUUCCAGGCGCGGAGCAAACCAGGGCUGGAGCUCCCGCGACGUUUCCUCCUCCAGGUCGCACAGAUGCCACUGCGAGCCCCUGUGCUGGGGACGUGGUUCUGGCCCUGUCCCGUCUGUUUCCAGGAUGUUCCUGCAUCAACCAGAUGAUUUCCCUUGUGCUCCCACGCCAUCAGGGUUGUGCUGUGGGAAGCAAAGCCCUUCUCGCCGUGCCCUUUCUGGACUGGCCACAGCCUCUGAUCCACAGUCCUCAUCUCUGCAUCACCACCUUCCCUCGGAGCUGAGGUCUGGGAGCUGUGGUUGGACAGGAAUGAGCAGAACCUGUUACUGCAGUGCUGGCGAGGAGGCAGCACUGUGUGGGGUGACAGCAGGAUGGCUCCGUGCGCUGACUGUGGCAGCACCAGCUGCCUUUUCCUGAUGGCACCAGGUACCUCAGGCUCCAGAGCCAACUGCAAUUCCCCAUCCUAUCGCCAGUGGUUCCUGGAUCAAACAUGCUUUUGCUGUGCUUGCCGUGACAAUGCCCAGGCAGCCCCAGCUCCCAGCACUGCUGCCCCAUCUGCUGGCCCCGUCUUUGCCUCUCAUCCCACUGUCAGCAGUGCCAACUGCCCAACCUGGCAGCUCCUACCUGUGAGGAAGCAGACAGACAGACAGACAGAGCAGCAACAGAAACCAAUCACUCUAAACAGAUUUACCAGCUAGAAAGUUUCUUGUGAGAAAAUAGAGCAGUGAGGAGCACAUGCUCCUGAGAAGGAAACAGGCUUACAUCCCUGAGCUCUCCUGCCCUGGAAUGGCCUGGGCUGCUAAGCAGAUCAGAGCAAAACCCUCCUGUAGCUGGGUAAUUCCGCCUCUUUCUGAUAAUCCGGUAACGCCAUUAGUGGAGAGUCUGGCAGGAGGGAGCUGUGAUGGGAAAGCACUGCACCUCCACACACAUGGCAGAUUAAAAAGGACUUAAUCACAGAGCAGCCACAAAGUGCACUAUGUGACAUUAUUCCUCUGAAAUAAAAUUUUACAUACAGCCCAUCUGAGAGCAGCACAAAAUAAAUACUUUUAAAAUCUAUGAUUACUA